AAAACACACACACACACACACACAAACCGAAAACAAAAAACAGGACAGAGAAAAAUUAUUCUAAAAACAGAUGUUUCUGAUUUUCAAACUGAAAGUGAAAAUAAGGAACUUGCUCUAAACUACUUUGUAGAGUAAAACUAGUUUGAGCACAACUAAUGAUCGAUGGUAGAUGUAGGCACAUAUGAUCUUACAACUUUUUUUUCCCCCAAGGGCUGGGGAUUGAACCCAGGGCCUCCUGCAUGCUAUGAAAAACUCUACCACCUGAGCUUCACCCCCAAGGCCUGUGAGCUUAAAUUAUCAGUAUUUUCUUGCUGACAUUUCCAAAUUGAAAAGCUAAAUAAGUCACAAUCCCAGCAUCUGCCAAAGGUUGUGAAAGCCUUUACUUUAAAAAAAAAUUUUUUUUAGUUGCAGACCUUUAUAUUAUUUAUUUAUGUGUGGUGCUAAGACUUGAACCCAGUGCCUUACACAUGCCAGGCAAGCACUCUACCACUGAGCCACAACUCCAGCCCCCAAAGCCUUACUUUUGGAAAGAGAAGAAAACAAACAUCUUUCUUUGGAAGAUGUAAUUUAUCUUUUAUUUUUUAUUAUUUAUUUGGUACCAGGGGUUGAACUCAGGGGCGCUUAACCACUGAGCCACAUCUCCAACCUUUUUUUAAUUUUAUUUAGAGACAGGGAUCUCACAGAGUUGCUUAGGGCCUUGCUAAAUUUCUGAGGUUGGCUUUGAACUCAGGAUUCUCCUGCCUCAGCCUCCCAUGCUGCUGGGAUUACAGGAGCACACCACCCCCUGCCUUGCUUGUAAUUUUUCUUUUCUUGGGUUAAAAUCAAGAGCUAAAGUCAAAUGUGAAGUCAUGGGUAAAGACCCCAUGUUAU
rnacentral:lncRNA from 1 species